CCUACGGGUGUGCUGCAGUGGGGAAUAUUGGACAAUGGGCGAAAGCCUGAUCCAGCCAUGCCGCGUGUGUGAAGAAGGCCUUCGGGUUGUAAAGCACUUUCAGUGGGGAAGAAAGCCUUGGGGCUAAUACCCUCGAGGAAGGACAUCACCCACAGAAGAAGCACCGGCUAACUCCGUGCCAGCAGCCGCGGUAAUACGGAGGGUGCGAGCGUUAAUCGGAAUUACUGGGCGUAAAGCGCGCGUAGGCGGUCUGAUAAGCCGGUUGUGAAAGCCCCGGGCUCAACCUGGGAACGGCAUCCGGAACUGUCAGGCUAGAGUGCAGGAGAGGAAGGUAGAAUUCCCGGUGUAGCGGUGAAAUGCGUAGAGAUCGGGAGGAAUACCAGUGGCGAAGGCGGCCUUCUGGACUGACACUGACGCUGAGGUGCGAAAGCGUGGGUAGCAAACAGGAUUAGAUACCCGAGUAGUC
rnacentral:rRNA from 1 species